rnacentral:rRNA from 1 species
CCUACGGGAGGCAGCAGUGAGGAAUAUUGGUCAAUGGACGAGAGUCUGAACCAGCCAAGUAGCGUGAAGGAUGACUGCCCUAUGGGUUGUAAACUUCUUUUAUAUGGGAAUAAAAUGUUCCACGUGUGGGAUUUUGUAUGUACCAUAUGAAUAAGGAUCGGCUAACUCCGUACCAGCAGCCGCGUUAAUACGGAGGAUCCGAGCUUUAUCCGGAUUUAUUGGGUUUAAAGGGAGCGUAGGUGGAUUGUUAAGUCAGUUGUGAAAGUGUGCGGCUCAACCGUAAAAUUGCAGUUGAAACUGGCAGGCUUGAGUACAGUAGAGGUGGGCGGAAUUUGUGGUGUAGCGGUGAAAUGCUUAGAUAUCACGAAGAACUCCGAUUGAGAAGGCAGUUCACUGGACUGCAACUGACACUGAGGCUCGAAAGUGUGGGUAUCAAACAGGAUUAGAUACCCCUGUAGUC